UGUAAGGCUGUAAUGUAACAUAAUGUGGAAAAAGUCAAGGGGUCAGAAUCCUUUCUGAAUGUACUGUAUAUGAUCUAUAGUUAUUCAAUGAAGAUGAUGUUUGAAAAACACUGCAAGAAAAAACACAAAAAUUGUGUAAAUUAAUGUCUUUAAGGUAUGGUGAUCAUGUCUUUAAGGUACGGAAAUCAUGUCUUUAAGGUACAGUGAUCAUGUCUUUAAGGUACGGUGAUCAUGUCUUUAAGGUACGGUGAUCAUGUCUUUAAGGUACGGUGAUCAUGUCUUUAAGGUAUCGGUGAUCAUGUCUUUAGGUACGGUGAUCAUGUCUUUAAGGUACGGUGAUCAUGUCUUUAAGGUACGGUGAUCAUGUCUUUAAGGUACGGUGAUCAUGUCUUUAAGGUACGGUGAUCAUGUCUUUAAGGUACGGUGAUCAUGUCUUUAAGGUACGGUGAUCAUGUCUUUAAGGUACGGUGAUCAUGUCUUUAAGGUACGGUGAUCAUGUCUUUAAGGUACG
ensembl:lncRNA